UACGUAGGGUGCAAGCGUUGUCCGGAAUUAUUGGGCGUAAAGAGCUCGUAGGCGGUUUGUCGCGUCUGCUGUGAAAACUCGGGGCUUAACUCCGGGCCUGCAGUGGGUACGGGCAGACUAGAGUGCGGUAGGGGAGACUGGAAUUCCUGGUGUAGCGGUGAAAUGCGCAGAUAUCAGGAGGAACACCAGUGGCGAAGGCGGCUGACUGGUCCGGUUCUGACGCUGAGGCGCGAAAGCGUGGGGAGCAAACAGG
rnacentral:rRNA from 1 species